UACGAAGGGGGGCUAGCAUUGCUCGGAAUCACUGGGCGUAAAGGGUGCGUAGGCAGGUUUUUAAGUCAGGGGGUGAAAUCCUGGAGCUCAACUCCAGAACUGCCUUUGAUACUGGGGAGCUUCGAGUCCGGAAGAGGUGAGUGGAACUGCGAGUGUAGAGGUGAAAUUCGUAGAUAUCGGGAGGAACACCAGUGGCGAAGGCGGCGACCUGGGCAGAUACUGACGCUGAUGUACGAAAGCGUGGGGGAGCAAACAGG
rnacentral:rRNA from 1 species